UUCCUAGCGGCGCCGGCCACCACCCCCGUCCACAAGGACCAGCAGCCACAUCCGGCAGCCAUGGGGCCAGAGCAGGAGCAGCAUCCCUGCCGCCAUCGUCGCUCGCCCCGGUCCCCGUCCUGCAGCGGUGGCCGAGGAGGACUAGCCGCGCCACGGCCGCACAUCCCGUCCUGCAGCGGUGGUCCACGGGAUCGGCAUCGACACCGGCCUCUUUGCUCCCGCUCGAGUCAUGAAGGGACAACCAGCAGCGGUGGCCCAGGAGAUCAACUACUAGCCGAGGAGAGUCGCCUCCGAUUCUGCAAGGAGCCCGACGGCUGUCUCCUCCUCCGCAGCCGCACACGAGCGGCCAGCCCUGGACUAGGUCAUGGCACCAGAAGCGGACGGCGGAGGCAUGUCCAGCUGGUCUGAGAUCUAAGCACACCUGUUGCUUCUACCGUUCGUCGGCCACCUGGUAGCAGGCUCGUGAGCAAGCGAGGCAUUUUGGGUAUCUUAUCUAUGUUGCCAAUGGAACUGAUGGACUUCUGCUUAACACAAAUAAUUUGGUGGUGCUUGGAUCUGGGAGUGAACUGUGUCAAGGUUCUUCUCUACUAUAGGAGGAAAUAAGAUGGGGCAUGUGUUUAUGUUUUCAAGGAGAAAUAUUGCAACUGAUGCGUGUACAUUAGUGUAGGUUCGUUUCACAUUGUUUUCUGAAACAAAGUGAUGCCUGCGAUCAAAGAGUAUAUAGAGGUCGAAGAACUACACAUUUGAAGCAAUUCAAAUGAAACAGGGCAUGGUUAUGAGGGUCAAGGGUCAACAAUAACCAUAAAAGCUUAUUAUUGAUCCCUGGAUACAUUAUAGCAUCUAUUGUUAUGGGUGAAUGUGGUUUUCUGCCUUGGUGAGCUCCCUAAUUUGGCAAGGACCCCGGCCUGAACGGCAUCUUUGUGUUGCGCUGUGUUGGUUCCAGUUCCACACACGCGCAUCGGAGGCCGCGUUCCAGUUCCACGAGGCCUCUCUCAUCCUGCAAAAUAGUUCCUGGGUUGGUGGUUUCUAUCUCUUCCUAGCUGAAUAUAUAUGAGGGGGUCAAUUAUCAGAUGUCCUUCAUUUUUACCCUUUGCAUUUGCUUUGGCUGGAUGAAACGGACCGUCAGUUAAUUAGUUGUUGUGCCUAUGGCUGCUUGCAUUAAUGAUUCCAUGUGUGCAUUAUUAACCACUGAAAAUCAUUGGCUUAUCAUACAAGAUGCAAACCAUCUGCUGUGGCUCUAAUGUAGUACCACUUCAUAAUCUUGCUUCUGUUAGUAAAUUGAGACAACUAUUACUAUGCUUAGUCGUUUGUAGUUUUGGUAGUUGUGAGAAACUUGAUGAGGUACAGUGCGGAAUGACACCCAUCCAGUUAUAGUAUACCUUUUUUCCUAGGUUCUAUUAUUUAUCUUCUUACUAUGUAUUGUUCCACUGGUGGUCGCGCCUAAAAAUAACUAAUAUUUUUCCUUGAUAUGUUAUUAUUAAACUUAUGCCUUUAUUCACACAAAUAGUUUAUGAUGCUGUUUUGGUUACCAAUCUUUGCCGUUUCCUAUAAAAUGAUUAGGUGCUACAAUACAUCAGUCUGGAUUCUACUGCUAUUACAAUCUUUGUGUUGCAUGUCUCUCUCGACCUUUUACUUUCAUGUAUUUAUUUUUGUUUUGCUGUGAAUAAACCAAGAGAGUAGGAUGUCGGCUUUGCUUCAAGAUACCACUAUGAAUUUAGGAGCUUCCUUGACUUCAUGUGAUGGCAUGACGACGGGAUCACGAAGUUUAGGUGUUGAGUGUGUUCCAUGGCCAUGAAAAUUUGGAAGCUCCAUGAUGUUCCUUUUACUCAACAGAAAGUUAUACCAAUUUUUUGCCUCUAAAAACUGAGCACAAUAGAUGCACUUGCAGCACUCAUACAUAUUAUGUGAGAAAUCAAGUUGGAGAUCAUAUGCUUCGAGGCUUGAUCUCCUCAUGUUUGUGUUCACCGAUUUCCCAAAAGUAUUAUGUGCUGCACAUAUUCUUAUUUCUUUUGAUUAAUUUAGAGCAAGGUAGGUGUGGAAGUUGCCGAUUCAAGGCUCAACUCGAGCAAAACUUGAUUUCUUGAUUGUUUUGUCGAUGCAUCUGAGACUGACUUACUUCUCUACCCAGUUCUGCUCUGUAAUUUUAGAAUAUAUGUUGUCAUGUGCUUGCUUCAGCUUUCGGUGUUGGCUUUUCUAUCUAAUGUUUUCUUCUUGCUUUUGGAAUAGCUGCAUAUGUUUCCAAAUACUAAAUGUUCUCUUCUUGGUUUUUGAAGAAGCCUUUUGACCUUCUUAUUAUGCAUGCAUGUUGAUGAUACUGAGGUUAUCGGCAUUCUCCUGCAAACUGAAUUAAUUCCUUUGUGCUUGCGUACCAUGGAGAUGGGCAGUGAGCUAUAAAAAAUGUAUGUAGCUAACCAUCUCAAUCAAUUAUUUUAUCCUUGACUUUCCUCUACAGGAUGAUGACUAUCUAAUGGUGAUUCCCUAUUCCCACAUUUUCUGCCCUCAUGUUGCAAGCUCUAAAGCUGCCCCUGCAAUUUACCAUCACAAGACAUGUCUGGGCAGCAAGUCUCCUGUGACGGUUACUUUUAAUUCGUCGUUACGAUUGUUUGAUGGUUUGCUUGUUCCAACCUCGAUAUCAUGGUUUGCUUGUUCCAACCUCGAUAUCAUGGUUUGCUUGUUCCAACCUCGAUAUCUGCCUUUAGAUUCCUGUUGUUGUCUUUGUAGUGGAAGGUACCACCUGGUGGUAUGUUGUUAUUUUCACUUUGUUCUGAACAAGGCAUGUAUAGAUUUCAGAUUUUAGUUCCUAUCACUCUGUC